rnacentral:rRNA from 1 species
AUUGAACGCUGGCGGCAUGCCUUACACAUGCAAGUCGAACGGUAACAGGUCUUCGGAUGCUGACGAGUGGCGAACGGGUGAGUAGUACAUCGGAACGUGCCCGAGAGUGGGGGAUAACGAGGCGAAAGCUUUGCUAAUACCGCAUACGAUCUAUGGAUGAAAGCGGGGGACCGUAAGGCCUCGCGCGAUUGGAGCGGCCGGUGUCAGAUUAGGUAGUUGGUGGGGUAAAGGCUCACCAAGACGACGAUCUGUAGCUGGUCUGAGAGGACGACCAGCCACACUGGGACUGAGACACGGCCCAGACUCCUACGGGAGGCAGCAGUGGGGAAUUUUGGACAAUGGGCGCAAGUCUGAUCCAGCCAUGCCGCGUGCGGGAAGAAGGCCUUCGGGUUGUAAACCGCUUUUGUCAGGGAAGAAAAGGUUCUGGCUAAUACCUGGGACUCAUGACGGUACCUGAAGAAUAAGCACCGGCUAACUACGUGCCAGCAGCCGCCGUAAGAC